rnacentral:lncRNA from 1 species
UUUUUUUUUUCCAGGAAAAAUGAAGGGUAAAUUUUGGGGUAUUACAACUGCCCCUAUUCAAUCAACUGGAGACCCGGAAAGAAGAUGGCAGAUGCUUUCGUACUUUCGAGGUAUCAAGGGAUUGAAUACAAUAAAAGCCCAAAAAUUUGCACUGAAGUGAAGUGAAGUAACAGAAUCGGCAAAGAGGUGGCCAUGAAAGAAGAAUUCGUCUGGUACGGUGAGAGUCAGUCUGAAUACCGAAAAAGAAUGUUAACUUGGAU